GGCUGCGGCAGGCCAGCACCACGCGCGCUCCCCGGCGCGCCAGCUCCAGCGCAGUCAUCUUUCCGAUGCCGCUAUUGGCGCCUGCGGGCGGCGGGUGGGAGCCAGCUCAGCCGGUCGGGCCGCGGCCACCCGCCCGGCCUCCCCGCCGCCCGCUCGCGCGCACUCACCAGUGACCACGACCGUGCGGCCCCGAAGGCUGCCGAUGCCGCCGCACGACGGGGCCUUCACCAGGUUGUAGUAGACAAGCACGUAAGCGCCCAGCAGCAGCCCGGCGCCCAGCAGCAGCAUCUCCAUGCCGGCAGUGCUCCUGGUUCCCGCCCGGGCCUCGUCGCUCCCGCCUCGGCCUCGCGAGGGCGGCGGCAAGCUGGGCAGGGGUGUGCGCGCACGCGUGGCCCCUGCGAGCGCCCCCUAGGCGUGCGCCUGCGUGCCCUGGCGGCGUGCCUAGGAGAAACACCUUGGAGUCCUGGGAGCGCCCUCUAGGCUUGCGAAUUCCCGGGAACGCGUGCUCGGUGUGAGUAUGUAGCAGUCUCUCAGUCUGGAGUCCUGUGUACAUGAAUGGGCUCGUGUGUCUGGAGUCGAGUCCUGGAUGCCUUUUCCUCAAUGAAGCGACUCUUUUCUCAUUCUUUCAUUAUCCAGCCCUCCGCUGCUCUUCUAGGACAUUUCCCGUUACAGUCCAGAGGCAUGAGGCAUCUCAUGCUGGCACUGACAGGGUUGUCAGGAUUCAACCAUGUGAUUUCCUAACUCUGUGACCCCACCCCUUUCCCUGUCGAUUUUGGAGGUGGUUUCCCUAGGCCCAUGGUGGCCUUAAAUUUGAGAUCCUCCUUCCUCAACCUCUGAAACAGUGGGUAUUACAUGGUUGUUACUCCAUGACCUCUGCUUUCAAAAAGGCAGUAGUGAAAAAGUUAGGCGGUAAUUUGUUUCUAGAACGGUUCACAGGUAGCAAGACUAGGUAGGUAGACACUCCAUUACUCUGGAAACAGUGACUGAGGGUAAGCUGGGCAGGGACAGCUAGGGAUGUGGGUAUUCCAAGCAAGCAGGACCUUGCCUAGGACAGUGAAGGACAGGUAGUUCCUUUCUGCCUUUAGAGGUUUAAGAAGUCCUUCCUGAAGUGGAAGCAGAGUGGCAGGGACAAGAAUACAGCUAUAUGUGGGAGUCAGGGUCAGAUUUCUGAGACCAGAGAACUCCCUAUUUAAUACUGCACUGUGUUCUUGGAGCACAACUAUAGACGCUGUGGAUGUAAAGCUCGUUUUCCAGCCCUAUCAACAGACUUGAAUAUAUGAAUAGGUACUAGUUAGAAUAGUGCCUGAACACAGAUUUUUCUAGGGGACUGUUCUCAGGAAGAACUUCCUGAAUAAGCCAUCUCCAGGAAGCUAGCAGGAUGCCCAGGAAAUUAGAAUUAGGGUAACACAGCAGGGUAUUUCCUGAUGAGAACAGCAGAAGUUAUUCAAGUUACACCAAGAGCAGCACAGGCUAGAGCAGCAGUCUUUAACCUGGGUCACCUCCUUACCAAGAGUCAAAGGACCCCUUCACAGGAGUUGCAUCUCAGAUAUCCUGUGUCAGACAUUUAUAAUUUGCAACAGUAGCAAAAUUAAAGUUAUGAUGUAGCACUGAAAUACUUUUAGGGUAGGUGGUCACCACACAUGACAGACUGUAUAAAAGGGUCACAGCAUCAGGACUGUUGAGAACCAUUGGUCUAGAGAGAUGUUACUGUAUUAGGGCUCUCUAGGGAAACAGCAGCCCUCCAAAGGCAAGCACUCCUUUCCAGUUCCCUCUCAGAGCUUAGGCUCCCUUCACUAACAUCUGCCUUCUCCACCAAGCUUCCCUGGAGACUACCUGAGACUGACACUUGUACAAAGGGUGUGAAAAGUGAGAUCCAGGACACUUCCCCUUCUAAGCAUGACAGGGAGGACAGACAGGCAGAAAACAUAAUUUGAAGUAUUUUUGGUUUUUAUAUACAGAAUACAGGAAAGUUUCUGUAAAGUCUAAAACAUUACAAUUACUAUGUACAUUGGUACUGGUUGUGGGGAAGAGGAAGUAUCUGGGGUGAGGAGGAAGAGAAGUGGUAAGAACAAAAAAGGACACAGAACAGGUUUACGACAAAAACGCCUUUGCUACAAUAGACAAUUUGAGAAAAACACUCUACCACAUGUACUGUACACAGCUUUUAAAAACAUUGAAAAAAUGCCAUCACUAGAUGUAUUUACACAAAAUCCAAAUACACUUUUCCUUAUUUGAAAUAAAAUAGAUGGACAGCCAGAAAAAAGGAUUCAUUUCUCAUUUGUCCAUAUACACAGUAGCUACCUGUAGUGCAACUGCUGCAGAGAGGGAAAGUCCUUGUAGGGUGGGAACCAUGGAAAGGAGUGGGUAGCGAUCUUUAUAUUAAAUAAAACAAUGAUAUUGUAUAGAUUUUGCUGUAUGAAAACUGUAUUUUUUUCUUUUAAUAUAAAACUAUUGUCACUGCC
ensembl:antisense Dhrs13os dehydrogenase/reductase (SDR family) member 13, opposite strand